GGAAGUAAAGUCGUAACAAGGUUCCGUAGGUGAACCUGCGGAAGGAUCAUAAUGAAUUUUUUAGGUUGAAAUUUGAAACCUAAAAUAUAACAUCCUCCCUUGUGAAUUUGUUGUUUGAAAUAAUUUUUAAAAAAUUAUUUAUAGUUUGUCUAUCCCUGAGUUGUAGAGAAGUAAUUCUUGAGACUUAGGGAAUAGCUUUAUCUAUAAAUAAUGAUUUAAAGACCUUUUUUAAAUUAACUUCUGUAUUCAUUUGUCUAAAAUUUUUUUAAUAAUUAAAACAACUUUGACAAUGGAUCUCUUGUUCUCGCAACGAUGAAGAACGCAGCAAAUGCGAUAAGUAAUGUGAUUGCAGAAUACGUGAAUCAUCAAAUUUCGAACGCAUAUUGCACUUUUUAGUUACUAAAAAGUAUGUCUGUUUGAGUAUCAGUAAAAUAUUCAUAAAAAAUUAUUUUUUAUGGUUUUGAGUGUUUACAACGAUACAAGUGUUUCACUUUAAUUGACUUUAAAUUGUCUAUUAAUUUAGUCAAUUUUAAAAUGCAUAAAAUUUCCGUAAAAGGAAUACCUAUCAAUUUUAAAAUUAACUGAUAUUAAAGGCCUUGAUAAAGGAAUUUAAUAAUAACUUGAUCUCAAAUCAGAUAAGAGUACCCGCUGACUUAAGCAUAUCAAUAAGCGGAGGAAAAGAAACUAACAAGGAUUCCCUAGUAACGGCGAGUGAAGCGGAAGAGCUCAAAUUGAAUCUUCAAGGUUGACUUGAGAAUUGUAGUUUAAAGAAGUGUUUUCGGUUAGAGGAGUGGUAAAGUUCUUGGAAUAGAAUCAUAGAGGUGAGAAUCCGAUUUGACCAUCUUUCUAGCUUUGUGAUACACUUUCAAAGAGUCGAUUGUUGGAAUGCAGUCCAAAAUGGGUGGUAAUUCAUCUAAAGCUAAAUAUGGCGAGACCGAUAGCGAACAAGUACCGUGAGGGAAAGAUGAAAGAACUUGAAAGAGAGUUAAACAGUACGUGAAAUUGUCAAAAGGAGCGUUGACACCAGUGUUUUUUCCGAAAUCAAUUAAAAAAUUCAUGCCAGUGUAUUGACCUUAUCAGCUUGCAAUUUGUUUUGGGUUCUUUUUGAUGCACUUUUCGGUUAACAGUCAACAUCAAUUUCUUUGCUGUAAAAGGGGAGGAAGGUGCUUCAAUUUCGGUUGAAGUGUUUAUAGCCUUUGUCUUACAGUCGGGAGAUUGAGUUGCAGCGUAGAUCCUUCGGGUUAGAUACAUUCGUGCUAAGUUAUAGCUUUAUAGACAACUUGUUGACUAUGAUCGGUCUUGUAAUUUACUCGGAGUGCUAUUUUACCUACUUAGGAUGU
rnacentral:misc_RNA from 1 species